UUACAUUCAGUCAGGCUAGAUUUCUAGGUUAAUAUGAAAUGCAAUGGUGCAGAGAGUCUGAGCCUUGAUGGCUACAAUAUAAUAAGGGGAAAGAGAGAUUCCUUUCACCAGGGCUGGCGAAGCGUAUUUGAAGGUGUAGGAGUCAAAAUGGCAAAAAACUGUUAGAAAUCCGGUUUUUCAGUGAUAGCAUGAAACUGCAUCUCAAAUAGAUUUUGACCGAAUGAAAAUCCAUGGCAACAUUUUCAAGCUUUCUUUUAUCACUUUGUCCGUUAGCUUUAUCUAUUUUAAUGUUGACAAAAAAUAGGAUAUGCCGUGCAAGCUUUAAGAAUAACUGUUUCAGUGCAGCGAAAGAAUCAGAAAUUGUUUCACAUUGAAAAAGGAAGCAAAACAAGAUGGAGAAAAGAAAUAAAUGAAGCAGAGUUUAGCAAUAAAAACAUUAUCAGAAGAACUGCAUCAACUUAAAGAAUAUUUUGCUUUGUUCUGUUGAAAAGUUGAGAAAGGAUUAUGGCAUUGCCGCCUCCCUGGUUUCGCUGGUCCUGUUCACUAAGAAGUCACAGAAGGGUAUUUGAAUGGGCCCCCAAAAGGGAUAAAGGAAAUACGGGAAAUUGACAAAUCGUGUGCACAUGACAAAUUUUAUGGGGUUAGUGUUUGAAUAUUUAUUUUCCUCAGUCUUGAUUUCAGAGCCUGCCUCUUGCUGUUCAAAUCUGUUUUCAAAAGUCAAAAUAACAAUUUGAUGUGACAUACAGUUUUCAUACACGCCCACCAAUACGUCCAGUAAAUUGUUAUUUAUUGAAAAUCCAUUUUACCGUGCAUCUAACCUUAUCCUAGAAUGUUACACUCUAUCCAGGCUCUAAGAUGCAACCCUUACAGUCUCCUACUUUUACAGAUUUGGGUCAGAUAAUUUCUACAGAUUUGGGACAGAUUUGGGUCAGAUAUACCCCGAAAGUUAAGCUUUGUCUAUGACCCUUUGCCAUCUCUAUGCCCUUUGCUGACCAAUGUGAAGGAACCGCGAAGCACGUGAUUGCGUGGUGGACGAUUUCUGGGUUAUCGCAUCAGACAUGUCACAUCACAAAAUAUGAUUUGCCAAAAUAUUGCCCCUCCCCAAAAUUUUUUAUUUGAUUUAGACGGAAUAAAGAAUAUAUCCUGUCGAGAACUGUGAGGGGACGUAUCCCUCAAUCCUCUUUUCAUAUGCACUGUGGCUGCAGACUCUACGGAGAAGAAAGAACGAAAAACAAACACAAUGAGAAAAGUAGAUUAUACAGUUCUACUUUUUGUCGUUUUGUGAUUUUAAUUCCUCCUCCGUCGUGUCUGCAAUGUAGGCUACAUAAACAUAACCAUCAUAUUACAUCAUAUUUACACCCUUCUUUGCUAGAGGCCGGUGACUUAUAUCUACCAUCAAAUGGCCAUGUGCAAUCUCAUUGACAAGUGAAUUGCUAUCCUAGAAACACCUAUAAAAUAUAUAGAAGGCCAUAACUUCAUAAAUAUGGAUAUAUGAAAUGAAGGGAAAGGCUAAUGCGGCUUACGCAGCAAUAACAACAUCCAAAUUAUGAUUUUAAAAAAAGUUCAUUUAGCAUCAUCAACUGCCAAAUGAUGUUAAAAUGCGUGCAUCGAAUUUUUGUCGCUCUUCCUGGCAGUUCUGAUUGCUUUUUAAUAGCAAUGUUAAUGCCAAGCGCACUGUUCUGCUGCACUGGUACAAAUUUUUGAAAGUUUUUUUAACGUUCCUCAUCAUUAUGGCGACCUCUAUGCCAAUUUUUCACUCAGUCUUUUCUAGAAAUGCCAAUGUCUGUUUGCACGGAUAAACAACAUGCACGAAUAAUAUAAACAAGGCAAAAGUAAAGAAGUGGGGUAAAAUAUUUACGAUGGCUUGGUAUUGUUUGCACUUGACAGUGGCGCUAGAAAAAACUUAUUGUUAUCAUAUAGCCCUGCGGAUGACAUUUAGUUUGCAGAAUCAAGUAUACAAAUGUCAUGAAAACAGCAAGACACUUUAUUGUUGACCAAUUUAUUUUCUGUUGACGGCUAAAAUAGAACAGAACUUAGGCUGAGUGGCCGCUAGGCUGGUUGAAGACAAAUGCAAUAUUGAUAGAUCGAACUCUUUUUUUUAAAUGCUGGUAUGUAGAGCUGCAUGGACUCAAUGGAGCAGUUAGGCUGCGAAUUUUCGUAAGGUAACAGGAAGCUGUAUGAUUAUCGCCAAGUCAUGAUGCUCGUAAUUUUGGCACUAUUGUCACUGAUUCCAUUCUAUGGCCUAGCAGAUGAAUGCAGUACCAAUUUAUCGAUGCAAGACCUGGAUGGUGAGGUGAUUAUUGCAGGAUUGUUUCCUUUAAAUUAUUAUAGCUCUAAAAAGUCGACAUUUGUUCGAAACGACGUGGCCAUAACUUGGGUUGAAGCGUUCAUCUUUGCGAUUGGACAAAUAAACAACAACAGCGAGAUUCUACCUGGAAUGCGUAUUGGAUAUGAUGUGCGAAACAGCUGCAACGAGGAGGAAAUCGCUUUGAAAAACGUCUUGGAUUUCAGGUUAGACUUGAGUUUUCUCGACAAUAGUACUGGUGAAGUUGAUACCGGCCAGAAAUGUGGCUGUUUGGAGGCGAGAAACCGAAUAGUGGCCGUUGUUGGGGGAGCAUCGUCAAGUAUAUCGACGUCAGUGUCAAAUGUAUUGAGUGUAGAUGGCAUGCCUCAGAUAAGUUACUCUUCGACGAGCGUUGCGCUGAGUAAUAAAGAUAAAUACCCAAACUUCCUUAGGACGCUGCCUUCUGAUAUUUACCAAGCAAAGGCAAUUGUGGCACUUUUGAAAAAGUUUGAGUGGACGUAUGUUAAUAUUUUCGCGUCAGACGAUGACUAUGGAAGGCUUGGGUUUUAUCAGUUGGAAAAGGAAUUGAGGAGUGAAGGUAUGUGCAUUGCAGAGUCAAAGAUUUUUAAAAGAUCACUAAACAGAGAGAGGUUGAAUGAGAUCGUUGAUAAAAUUCGUAAAGGAGUUAGCAAGAAUGCUAAUGUUGUUGUGUUGUGGUGUCAGAUAAACGCAGCAAAAAUGAUCAUUGAGGAGGCAUGGAAAAUGGGGCUGCGAGGCAUCACCUGGCUUGGUUGUGAAACUCUAGGUAAUAAUGUUGACCUACUCGAGCUUGGGCAUAUUGUUAAUGGAUUUAUUGGUCUGAAGCCCACUCUGAGUAACGUAACAGCAUUUGAAGAGUACCUAGACAAUCUUGUUCCUUCAAAUGAAAGUUCUAGCAACCCAUGGCUGCAGGCUUAUUGGUCAGCAUUGCCAGCAUGUUCAAAUGAAUAUCUUGGAAACUCGGCCAUUAAUUGCACAAUGUCAAGAGAAGGAAAGAAUUUACCUAGGAGUAAGUAUUCCCACGUGAUCAGUGCUGUUUAUGCAGUGUCCUUGGCCUUGCAUGAAAUCGCAAGAAUAUCGAAUGGUACAGUGCUUGAAAUAUUGUCAGUUAUGACUCCAGAAGAAUUUUACAAUGAAAUCAAAGGUGUGAAAUACAGAGAUUCGGAAAGUGAUUUGAAAAUUGGUUUCGACGACGAAGGGGAUCCCGAAUUUGCAUCAUAUACUUUUACAAAUAUACAAAAUCUCUCUCAAAACAGAGGACUCGAUUUUGUUGAUAUUGGGCAGUGGGAUGGAGAAAUUGGGAAAAUCGAGAUAAAAGUUGAUAGAAUAUCGUGGGCUGGGAAACAGACGUUUGUAAGCUCCAAAUGCAGCACACCUUGUCUUCCUGGAAUGUUUAAAAUCCCAGGCGAUGUUUCUUGUUGUUGGUCGUGUGUUAAAUGCAAAGUCGAUACGGUUAGCACCGGUGGUAAUGUGACGUCAUGCGUGCCUUGCCCAGAUUCUAAGAUUUCCAAUGCAAACAACACUGAAUGCCUUCAGCUCAAGGAAAUUACUUUCUCGGCAAGCAACAUGAUGCUGGAGGCAUUUCUCUUCAUUGCUUCAGUAACACUUCUCUCGGUUGUUUUUGUUUUUCUAAUCUACAUAAAGAACUGGAACACUCCUGUUGUAAAAUCAUCUAAUCGAGAGCUAUCACUUAUUCAACUGGUCAUGCUGUUUGCCUCCUUCUGGUAUCCAGCCUCUUAUGUGAUAAAGCCCUCCCGAAUCAACUGUACCAUUCAGCCAGUUUGGCUAGCAAUCUGUCCCACGAUCGUUUUGGCGAUCACCUUUGUAAAAACCCACAGGCUUUACAGAAUAUUUAACAAAAAGACAACGGAACAGUCGAAAAUGUUGCACAACAAAUACCAGUCGCUUGUUGUUUUUAUAAUACUGUUCUUGCAAAUCCUAUUUAUAGUCUUGUGGCUGCAAAGAAACAAACUUAAAGUCGUAAGAACUAUAAAUCGUCUCGAAAUGUCUUUUAUAUGGCAUUGUUGCGAGAGUGCUGGGAACUUGCUCGUAAUCUCGCAAAGUUACAACAUAACGAUAUCGAUUGCUUGUGCCUUUAUGGCUUUUCGAGCUCGUAAGUUACCAACUGCAUUUAACGAGGCUCGAUACAUCGCAUUCGGCACAUUUACGUAUUGCAUUCUAUGGAUGUUCUCUAUUCCGCUCUUUCUCAGUGUUGACGUCAUCGAAAAAAACCAAGUUAUUUGUGCUGUGAGCAUUAUAACAAGCUUGUCUUUGCUUCUGUGGUUCUAUGGCAACAAAAUUCGAGUGAUGCUUUUUGUGCCUGACCAAAACACGAAGCACUUUUUCACUAGACAGGCAACUAUUGAUCAGUUUGCUAGGUCACACAAAGACUCAUCAAGCAUGACGUCAUCGUGGCCAACCCUGCCAAAUACACACGGGACAGCAUGGUCUAUAUACAGCUCGUCGUAUUCUAUUGAUCAAAGAACUUCGACUGUUGGGUCACUCAGUUCUCUCGUAUCAGCAAAGAAGCUAGCUGGAACAUGUAAUCCUAGAAUUAUGAAGAAAUAUGCUUCUUCUCCUAAAGAUAUAUUAUUUCCAAGAUAUGGAAAGGAAAGAUCGCAGACUAUUGACUGAAAAAUGAAUGUUUAAAUGUUAAAAGCGUUUUCUUUAUAAAAGGUCUGCAGUUAAUUAUAUGAUGUUGAAGAGCGUGAAACUCGCCAGUUGGGAAUUCUUUGUAAUAUUAAUGGGGAGACAACUGAAACUGUUUCAAGACAAUGCUAGGGGUCUUGUCGAAAAUCAUGUAGCGUUUUGUUAAGCUUCCACCAACAUUUAAGACCGAUGACUGGCCUUUUCUAGACGAACGGGCUAAAGUUCUUACUAGCUUUCUUCCAGCAGUGCAACUUAACUUAAAUAGUUUUUCUAUGAAAAAAUGCCAUUUAAGCACGCAAGAUGUGAUACAAUUCAACUAUUAUCUAUACACUACUAAUCUCAUAUUAUAGAAGAUCGCCAGUUUACUAGAUUGCUAUGUAUUUGAUAUAUAUAUAUAUAUAUGAAACCGUUUUCUUUAAAGAGAUCCAUAAAGUAAAUUUUGAAGACGUUGGUGUAGAAUACCAAGAAUCCCAAAAGAUCUUCUAUCAGUCAAACUACCUCUGCAAUUGUUUUGCUCUAAUAGCUUUUAAACGAAUACAGACAGCUAUUGUGAAGUCAGUUUCCAUGGAGCAAUCGUUACCCGGCAAAUGGUAUAUUUUCAUAAGUUAGCUAUGUUUAUUAUCAUCCCUUGCAUAUGGCAUACACAAACGAAGCAUCUAAAACAAUGUUUUGCUGCCAGAUUCAAGCUCUCGAUAGAACCUAUUUAAAGCAUUUUCUCCUUUCGUUUCAUAGGCCCCAAGCUUCUCCCGCCUUUCCCUUGCGUAACAAUAAGACUCAGUGCAGUUACUGGAUAUGCUAUUUCUCGAUACCGUUAUAUUGCUGUUGCUUUAUAAUCGUUAGGAUCGUUUACAUAUUUAAUUCAUUUAUCGGUGAUGUUGAUGGUUUUAUGUUGAGAUUCCACUCUUAUUGUAAAACCUAGAACAUGACACCUUGAAUGCAAUUAAAACUGCCAACUAUGAUGUGCCAGGUUGAGAUAAAAACAAACAUGUUGUUUUGUCAGCCGCCCAAUUCUCGUGUACAAAAACCAACAAAACUUGAACAAGAUGUUGGCAAACACGUGAGAAACUGCUUCACAAAAGUAUCUUUUAUGACUAUAACAAUGUUAACCCAUUUUUUCAUGGUGCAAACUUGUGUAAAUCACCGCCAUUUUGCUUUUUUAUUGUAGCUAUCCAACACCCUCUUGAUAUGUGCAAACCGAUACUGCUUGAAAUAGGUGUUAAAGAUAAGUUACGUAAGUCGCUUCUGAAUGUUAUGAAAGAUUACUUGCGAUCGAACGAGUCUGAAAAGCUAAACAGUUUGUUUAUUCAAUAAACUGUGUCAAUCUCUUUUGUUCUGCAGCUUUUUAAAUAGUGCCUCGUUCAGUUGUUUUGCAGAUCAAGUUUUGGUUGAUCCUUCUUCGUCGGUAAAAUGCUCUUCUUGGUUGAAAAAAUGCUGAUGAAAUCAAUUUACUUUUGCCUGGCAUUUGUCAUCAUUGGAUCUUAUGCUGCUGCUGACCAAGUCAGUUUUCCUCCUUUUGGCAAUUUCACCAAGGAUCCACCAUUCCACAAGUCUUGGAUGUUACUACCACAAUCUCCAAGCAGCGUUGGAACACAAUUUCAUUUGUUCACGAGGGCCUCGCAAGGCAUGGGCCAGC